rnacentral:lncRNA from 1 species
GGACCGCGGGUCCCCUGACUCUCCCCCACGUUUGCCGGCCGCGGGCGCGGGCCAGGACCGCGGGAAAAGGGCGGAGCCUCCCCAAGUGGGCCCCAGUCGGGUUUUUCACCCCUUAAACCCCUUUCUCCCCCUUUUCCUCACACUAUUCAUCAUCCCCAACCUCAUACUCACCCAUUUCCAUCUUCCCCAAUUCAUCCACACCAAACCCUAGCCUCCAUUACCAC